rnacentral:rRNA from 1 species
AUACGGAGGAUCCAAGCGUUAUCCGGAUUUAUUGGGUUUAAAGGGAGCGUAGAUGGAUGUUUAAGUCAGUUGUGAAAGUUCGGGGCUCAACCCCGGAAUUGCAGUUGAUACUGGAUAUCUUGAGUACAGUUGAGGUAGGCGGAAUUCGUGGUGUAGCGGUGAAAUGCUUAGAUAUCACGAGGAACUCCGAUUGCGCAGGCAGCUUACUAAACUACUACUGACGCUCAGGCACGAAGGCGUGGGGAUC